CAGCAGCCGCGGUAAUACGUAGGUGGCAAGCGUUGUCCGGAAUUAUUGGGCGUAAAGCGCGCGCAGGCGGAUCAGUCAGUCUGUCUUAAAAGUUCGGGGCUUAACCCCGUGAGGGGAUGGAAACUGCUGAUCUAGAGUAUCGGAGAGGAAAGUGGAAUUCCUAGUGUAGCGGUGAAAUGCGUAGAUAUUAGGAAGAACACCAGUGGCGAAGGCGACUUUCUGGACGAAAACUGACACUGAGGCGCGAAAGCCAGGGGAGCGAACGGGAUUAGAUACCCCGGUAGUCCCUGUCUCUUAUACA
rnacentral:rRNA from 1 species